UAACGCGUAGGUAAUCUACCCCAAAAUCCUGAAUAACCUGCCGAAAGGCGGGCUAAUACAGGAUAGAGCGACGGAAUCCGUAAUUGGGUUUUUCGGGAAAGGGAGGAAGCAAUUCCCUUCGUUUUGGGAUGAGCCUGCGUCUCAUUAGCUAGUUGGCGGGGUAACGGCCCACCAAGGCUAUGAUGGGUAGCUGGUCUGAGAGGAUGAUCAGCCACACUGGAACUGAAACACGGUCCAG
rnacentral:rRNA from 1 species